AUAUAGCCAUUUUUGACCAGGUACCUGUAGUCCUGAAGAUGACUUAGAAAAAUAAGUCGUCUUCAGGACUACAGGUACCUGGUCAAAAAUG
rnacentral:miRNA from 1 species